GCCUCGGCCUCGGGGCGCAAGGAUCCGGGAUUCCCCUCGGAACAGCGGUUGCUCCUGUAAGGCAGCACAACGUCUCGUGACUGCUAGUGCGACCGGAAGCCGUCUUGCUCCGCGAAAGAACUAGUUCCUAGUUCUUGCUGCCUCCUUCCCAGGUGCCAGGGCCGGAAACCCCGCUGAGGGCCCAGUUGGGCACACUGCGGCCCGCCCAGCAGCCGCGCGGUUCGGCAAGGCCGGGAGAGGCCCCGCCGGCGUGUGGAGGGACAGGUGCGGCUGGGCCAGGCCCGUGGCAGCAGGGUGAUGGGGCAGGAAGACGGAUUAAUACCCCAGACCCGCCGAAAUGGCAUUUUAUGGGGAAGAUAUUAACGGGUCACCAUAAACCCCGUGCGUGCUGCUAUCGCUCCCCUACGUCACCGCAGGGAGCUGUGGCGGCUGCAUCACGGUGCAGCGUCCAGUGAGCCGCCCUGUCCCCUUCCGGGGGGAAGUGUCCGCUUCGUGCUCGGGCCGGGUAGAGGUAGCGCUGGCCGCUCGGGCCUUUACACUUGUUAAAAAACGGUUACGGGGCACGAGCCCUGAACCUAGAAUUACGUUAAGGGGGGGGGGGGUCACUACUUGGCCCUAAAAAACUUUUCCACGUAUUUUUACAUUUUUAAACAAGCAGCACAGAGCCUGGUUUAAUGCCCAAACUGCAGCCGUCAGAAUAAAUGAGAAACUACGUUCCACGCCUCUCCUUGACAAGCUAAGUCCCAUGGAGAUGAAAUUCUGAAGCAGAGGGAAAGGAGGGCAGUAAUACAGCACCCACAGGAACACAAAUCACCAAAAAGAAAACCUCAUUACAGUACAAACGAACAAAGAUACUCCAGAGCCUCCAGGAUGGAACAGUUGACAGGAGACAGGCGAUAGUAAGUGCACCAGUGAUGAAAUUUUUUCUAUUUCCCAAGGUAAGUUUUCCUAGUGGAUUAUUUUCUGGUGUUCAUUAGGACUUUUUGAAUCUCUCUGGAACAGGAGAAUUCUAGACCCGAGAGCCAUCUAGGAAUCAAGCCUUGAGCCAUAGUGUUCAGACUGGGAUGACAAACAUUCCCCAAAGCUUGAGUCAGAAGACUGGGCAUCAGCAGGAGACUGAUGGCUGGCUGAGAGGAGAGAAAUCCUGAUGAUUAGCAGUGUUGGAGAAGAUUCUUCAACCAAGAGAAGAGAAAGGCAUCCCCCAGAGAAAGGCAACUAAGGCCUCCCCGGGAGCUGAAUUUCAUACAUUUCUGGUUGGCAGUGAUGGUAAAAAGGUCUCCAAUGUUCAGAAGACCCCAAGUGUACAUAUGCCCAGCAAAUGAAAGUUUGCCUUACAGUCCUUCAGCAAAUGCAGACACUCAUCCAUGGAGUUGCUGAACAAGAUACAACCGCAUUUGCUCCAAUCCCUCUGACAGAGACAAACACCUACAAGAUCUCUAUCAAGCAUUCUUACAACUACAAUACCCACCUGCUGAAGUGAAGAAACAGAUUGACAGAGCCAAAAGAGUACCCAGAAGUCACCUACUACGGGACAUGCCCAACAAAGAAAAUAACAGAACGCAACUAGCCGUCACCUUCAGCCCCCAACUAAAACCUCUCCAGUGCAUCAGCAGAGAUCUAUAACCUUUCCUGAAAAAUGAUCCCUCACUCUCACAGAUCUUGGGAGACAGGCCAGUCCUUGCUUAGAGACAGCCGCCCAACCUGAAACAAAUACUCUUCAGCAACCACACAACAAACACACUAACCCAGGAACCUAUCCUUGCAACAAAGCCCAAAGCCAACUCUGUCCACAUAUUUACUCAAGUGACACCAUCAUAGGACCUAAUCACAUUAGCCACACCAUCAGGGGCUCAUUCACCUGCACAUCUACCAAUGUGAUAUAUGCCAUCAUGUGCCAGCAAUGCCCCUCUGCCAUGUACAUUUGUGUAGAGACUGUCCGGUUUGGCCAAAGAAUAAAUGGACACAAAUCUGACAUCAGGAAUCAUAACAUUCAAAAACCGGUAGGAGAACACUUCAACCUCUCUGGCCACUCAGUAAAAGACUUAAGGGUGGCAAUUCUGCAACAGAAAAGCUUCAAAAACAAAAAAAUACACAUAUAUAUAUAUACACACACACACAGAAGGUAUAUCUAUUUAUCUCUUCUUACUAUAUGUUCCAUUCUAUGCAUCCGAUGAAGUGGGCUGCAGCCCACGAAAGCUUAUACUCUAAUAAAUUUGUUAGUCUCUAAGGUGCCACAAGUACUCCUGUUGUUUUUGCGGAUACAGACUAACACAGCUGCUACUCUGAAACCUGAAUAAUUUAAGACUAUCAAAGGGGAUGUCUUCUACAGUGUUUUGGAUUUCACGCUUUAAUCCUACAGACUGCAGCCAUGUGGCUCAGCUCAUGACUUCAGCUGUGCCGAUGAAAUGGGGGGCUGUAUUGAGAGUUAUCCUUGCCAGAAGCUGUCCCUCUGUGAUGAGGGCCUGAAAUAGUUCCCUAUGCUCUGAUGGGAGAUCUUCGUAAAGGAAUUAAUUCUAAAUAGCUAAUGUGAUUAUAUUUUGCAAGAAUUGUCUGGUAAUUAGCAAUUCUGAAAUGCAAAGUGGCAGGUAACUCUUGUGACGAAAGAUAUCUAAGUGCUUUGAAUCUUUAUCAUACAGGGUAGCCUUCAAAUUGCAUUGUCCGUUGAAUAUUUAUUUACUGCAUCGACAACUAAGGGAGUUGGGACAGGAUUGGCAAAUAAAAAUUCUGAAUCCCUAGCUGGAACAUGGUACUUUUUUUUUUUUUUUUUUAAUAAAAAAGAUGGGGGCGGGGAAUGCAGUGGUGGCAGGAGUUUGCCAAAUUGUUCUUGGCAGGUUCUAACAUCUCCUUGUAUAUAGGAAGAGCAACAUACGCUAAAGAUGGCGUGUGAAGAAUGUCCAGCAGUUUAUACUGAGUCUCUUGCACUUCUUGUAACGCUUUUGAAAAGUUAUCUGCCACUCUUUUCAUCAAUUCCUAAUGUUUGAAGUCACCAGCACUAGAUAAAGAGGGCCUAACAACUUCAUCUCGGGAGGAUGAUGAACUAGUUGUCUGAGGGGUAGCCUCUUUAUCAUUUCACCUUUCUUGCUCCUCAGACGUCCCCUCCUGUGGUGGAGAUUGCUAUAUGGAAAUUGAGAGAAUUAAGGAGCGCUGUCCCUAGCAUUCCCUGCAAGUGCGGGGUACCAUGGAGAACUGUUGUCAAUAGACAGCUCAAAGGUCCUAAUGUGGCCACGAGGAGAGGAGAGCAUAAGGGACUGAUCAUACCAAGGAGGUUACUGAGCAGAUUGAGGUUGCACAAGACUGGAAGUAUCCUUCAGUGGAGCAGCUUCAGGAGAAGCUGGUUUAGGCAUGUAAUCAUAAGAGCCCUGAAUAGAAACUUGAGGAUCUGGAGAAUUCUUUGCAUAGUUUAAUGGAGGAGCAAUGGUUAGCCUCUCUGAAUGCAUGGGUACCAAGGAAUCAUGUGGUAUCAGCAAGGUAUUGGAUACAGUGGAGAUCAUGGUAGCAGGAGUCUAACUGAGCUCAAUAAAGGAGUGUCAAGGCUGAUUCCGCACUCUGGAACUUGGAGUACAGAAGGUGGGGGCCCGCAAGGAUUCUAAA